rnacentral:lncRNA from 7 species
GCCGCCAAGGCCAUCAGAUCGGAGGAGUUGGUAAACGAAGGACGUCCAAACUGUCAUGUAGAUCGCCGACCCUCGCAGUCGCGUCUCGCGUGACCGCCGGAGCCACCUGUGCCUUGCGUGGCAACCGCUAGAGGGCCUCGCUGCUGUGCGCGCAUGGGGAGCCACCGCCGCCACACGAGCCUCUGGUUCACGCCUCAGGUAACCGCCACCGACCAGUGAGGGGGCGUCGGCGCUCACGCCACCGGGGUCGUCGUCGUCGCUCGUGCCUCAAGGAACCAUUAUCACUCGCGCGAGCGCUUCGUCACUCGUGCAUCGAGAUAGGGGCGUCAAAAAAUAAAGCCUAUCGACCUAGGACAUCUUUUAUAGACGACGAGAUCUGGUGCGGUUGAACCGGAUGACCUGGUCUGGUUUGGGCUUCCUCUAGUUAUUAAAAACACAGUUCUUUAAAUAUAUAAACUAAUAGUGUAUAUAUAAAGAUUGGUGGGGCCUUCAUGUCGAAUUUUGCCCUAGGCCCCAAAAAGUUGGGAAAUCUAUAGUUAAAGUUGUUUCAACUGAAUAAAUUUCAAAUUCUCUCUAACCAUCAGCUCACAAUAGUUUUCUCACAGCUCACAGCUAGAAUCAAAUUACCAGGAAUCUACAGCUGAACCAAACAGACCCUUAUUUCAUCUUCUAUAUUAAACUCUUCAUUCUACAGUACAAUCUUUAUAGCGAAACAAAAUAGUAUAUUUCACGGUCACAUAUACAGUCGCUGACCAUAGCCUUAGAGCUAUAGCACAUAUACUUUAUGUAUGUUAUCAACCUCACAUCAUUUUUAUGGACUUAUAGUUUAAAUAAAACUUAUUGUUUUAUUAAAAAAUAUAAAUAUAUCCAAAUACGCAAUU